rnacentral:tRNA from 1 species
AUUGAAGUGGUAGAAUUAAAUGCGUCGGAUUUAAGCUCCGGAGGNAGGGUUUAGCCCUCUUUAAUA